rnacentral:rRNA from 1 species
GAUGAACGCUGGCGGCGUGCCUAAUACAUGCAAGUCGAGCGAAUGGACGAGAAGCUUGCUUCUCUGAUGUUAGCGGCGGACGGGUGAGUAACACGUGGAUAACCUACCUAUAAGACUGGGAUAACUUCGGGAAACCGGAGCUAAUACCGGAUAAUAUUUUGAACCGCAUGGUUCAAAAGUGAAAGACGGUCUUGCUGUCACUUAUAGAUGGAUCCGCGCUGCAUUAGCUAGUUGGUAAGGUAACGGCUUACCAAGGCAACGAUGCAUAGCCGACCUGAGAGGGUGAUCGGCCACACUAGAACUGAGACACGGUCCAGACUCCUACGGGAGGCAGCAGUAGGGAAUCUUCCGCAAUGGGCGAAAGCCUGACGGAGCAACGCCGCGUGAGUGAUGAAGGUCUUCGGAUCGUAAAACUCUGUUAUUAGGGAAGAACAUAUGUGUAAGUAACUGUGCACAUCUUGACGGUACCUAAUCAGAAAGCCACGGCUAACUACGUG